UACGUAGGGGGCAAGCGUUGUCCGGAUUUAUUGGGCGUAAAGAGCUCGUAGGCGGCUUAGUAAGUCGGGUGUGAAACCUCCAGGCUCAACCUGGAGACGCCACCCGAUACUGCUGUGGCUAGAGUCCGGUAGGGGAGCGUGGAAUUCCUGGUGUAGCGGUGAAAUGCGCAGAUAUCAGGAGGAACACCGGUGGCGAAGGCGGUUCUCUGGGCCUUACCUGACACUGAGGAGCGAAAGCGUGGGGAGCAAACAGG
rnacentral:rRNA from 1 species